AAAUUGAAGAGUUUGAUCAUGGCUCAGAUUGAACGCUGGCGGCAGGCCUAACACAUGCAAGUCGAACGGUAACAGGAAGCAGCUUGCUGCUUUGCUGACGAGUGGCGGACGGGUGAGUAAUGUCUGGGAAACUGCCUGAUGGAGGGGGAUAACUACUGGAAACGGUAGCUAAUACCGCAUAACGUCGCAAGACCAAAGAGGGGGACCUUAGGGCCUCUUGCCAUCGGAUGUGCCCAGAUGGGAUUAGCUAGUAGGUGGGGUAACGGCUCACCUAGGCGACGAUCCCUAGCUGGUCUGAGAGGAUGACCAGCCACACUGGAACUGAGACACGGUCCAGACUCCUACGGGAGGCAGCAGUGGGGAAUAUUGCACAAUGGGCGCAAGCCUGAUGCAGCCAUGCCGCGUGUAUGAAGAAGGCCUUCGGGUUGUAAAGUACUUUCAGCGGGGAGGAAGGGAGUAAAGUUAAUACCUUUGCUCAUUGACGUUACCCGCAGAAGAAGCACCGGCUAACUCCGUGCCAGCAGCCGCGGUAAUACGGAGGGUGCAAGCGUUAAUCGGAAUUACUGGGCGUAAAGCGCACGCAGGCGGUUUGUUAAGUCAGAUGUGAAAUCCCCGGGCUCAACCUGGGAACUGCAUCUGAUACUGGCAGGCUUGAGUCUCGUAGAGGGGGGUAGAAUUCCAGGUGUAGCGGUGAAAUGCGUAGAGAUCUGGAGGAAUACCGGUGGCGAAGGCGGCCCCCUGGACGAAGACUGACGCUCAGGUGCGAAAGCGUGGGGAGCAAACAGGAUUAGAUACCCUGGUAGUCCACGCCGUAAACGAUGUCGACUUGGAGGUUGUGCCCUUGAGGCGUGGCUUCCGGAGCUAACGCGUUAAGUCGACCGCCUGGGGAGUACGGCCGCAAGGUUAAAACUCAAAUGAAUUGACGGGGGCCCGCACAAGCGGUGGAGCAUGUGGUUUAAUUCGAUGCAACGCGAAGAACCUUACCUGGUCUUGACAUCCACGGAAGUUUUCAGAGAUGAGAAUGUGCCUUCGGGAACCGUGAGACAGGUGCUGCAUGGCUGUCGUCAGCUCGUGUUGUGAAAUGUUGGGUUAAGUCCCGCAACGAGCGCAACCCUUAUCCUUUGUUGCCAGCGGUCCGGCCGGGAACUCAAAGGAGACUGCCAGUGAUAAACUGGAGGAAGGUGGGGAUGACGUCAAGUCAUCAUGGCCCUUACGACCAGGGCUACACACGUGCUACAAUGGCGCAUACAAAGAGAAGCGACCUCGCGAGAGCAAGCGGACCUCAUAAAGUGCGUCGUAGUCCGGAUUGGAGUCUGCAACUCGACUCCAUGAAGUCGGAAUCGCUAGUAAUCGUGGAUCAGAAUGCCACGGUGAAUACGUUCCCGGGCCUUGUACACACCGCCCGUCACACCAUGGGAGUGGGUUGCAAAAGAAGUAGGUAGCUUAACCUUCGGGAGGGCGCUUACCACUUUGUGAUUCAUGACUGGGGUGAAGUCGUAACAAGGUAACCGUAGGGGAACCUGCGGUUGGAUCACCUCCUUA
rnacentral:rRNA from 1 species